UACAGAGGGUGCGAGCGUUGUCCGGAAUCACUGGGCGUAAAGGGCGCGUAGGCGGUCUGCUAAGCGUGUGGUGAAAGCUCGGGGCUCAACCCCGAGUCGGCCGUGCGAACUGGUGGACUGGAGCAUGUCAGAGGCAGGCGGAAUUCCGGGUGUAGCGGUGGAAUGCGUAGAGAUCCGGAAGAACACCGGUGGCGAAGGCGGUUAGCUGGGCAGUUGCUGACACUGAGGCGCGACAGCGUGGGGAGCAAACAGG
rnacentral:rRNA from 1 species